rnacentral:misc_RNA from 1 species
GAUGAAGAACGUAGCAAAAUGCGAUAAGUAAUGUGAAUUGCAGAAUUCAGUGAAUCAUCGAAUCUUUGAACGCACAUUCCGCCCGCCAGUAUUCUGGCGGGCAUGCCUGUUCGAGCGUCAUUUCAACCCUCAAGCACAGCUUGGUGUUGGGACUCGCGUUAAUUCGCGUUCCCCAAAUUGAUUGGCGGUCACGUCGAGCUUCCAUAGCGUAGUAGUAAAACCCUCGUUACUGGUAAUCGUCGCGGCCACGCCGUUAAACCCCAACUUCUGAAUGUUGACCUCGGAUCAGGUAGGAAUACCCGCUGAACUUAAGCAUAUCAAUAAGCGGAGGA